AUGUUUAUUUUCGUAUCGGUGAUGCUUUUAAUGCACUUUAUAUGCAGCUUUAGUGUCAGAUAUAAUGUGUGCCAUGCACUCCAGAUGUUGGUGGAGUUUAUUUCAGUGUUUGUUGACCAGAGAAGAAAGUUAGCAUAGUAAAUAUUAGCUUUAAUGUUAGCGAUGCUAACCGAGCUAGCUGCUCAGUCAUAGGCUGAUUAAAGCUAACGUAGCAUCAAGCUAAUGUAUUGAGUUUCAUGUAAACAGCUGAAGUGUGUUGUGUUCCUGUAAUGUGGUUCAUUAAGUUCAUAAAACUGUGGCUGGUUGACAUUAAUGUAACGUUCAGGAAACUUAAAUGUGAUUAAAACAGUAACGUUAAUGUUCUAGUUGUCAGUAAUCAGCUUUAAUUUGACACUAAAACAGACUCUGAUAGUUUUAAAUGACAUCAGUUUCAUUAAUUUGUUGAAAAUUGUCUCAUUUGUUGUUGUGAUGUUGCUGCUGAUUCAUUAAAAGCAGAUGAUCCGUGUUGAAGAUACGUUUAGUUCUAGUAUCAGAAGUACAAGAAGGAAAAUGGAAGUUUAGUUCUGCUACAUCAAAGAUUUCAGGAUUAAAAUAACUAAAUGAGUCUUUAUGCCUCAAACUUUAUUUUUACAAUAAAGAAAUAAUGAAAUAAUCACAGAUAAUAAAAAUAUAAAUAGCAGAGAAAACCUGAGAGAAUAAUUUCCUGAAAAGUCUGUGAAGGAAAAGCAGCUUUUUUAUCCUGAAAGAUCAGAAUCAGCUCCAACAUCUGCAUCUGACAGCAUCAAGUCAACCAGAAAGAAAAGAAAAAAGAAAAUGACUUCUUUCUGAUCACAUCUGUUCCGCUGCUCACAGUCUGCUGCUGCUCACAUUCUUCACAUUUAUAGUCCACUUUUAAAAGUUCAGCAGACAGGUGCUCUGCUUUGGAGUGUGACGAUGUCGUCGGUGAUGUGGAGAGUGAAGUUUCCGUUUCACCCACAGCGUGCUUUAGGGCAGCCGGGUCGGACUUGAUGUUUGAAAUACUGACCGACAGCUCAGAUUUAACUGUCUGUAGUUCCGUUUUGAUGGGUGUUAAACUUUCACUCAAAGCCGCCAGGAGCUGGGUCUUUAAAAUAACCGCCGUCUCGUUACAGAGUGAAAGUAGCAGUUCCUCCUUAAGGUCAGAGAUUGCAGCAUCUGAGGGCCUCUUCAAAAGAAGACGUAGUUGAUGAAGGCGUUCUGGAGCAGGACCAGAAAGACCACGACCAAGCAGCCUUGAGAUCUUAGGCAGCGUCUCCCUCAGGUCCCUCUCUAUCUCCCCACACAUCCACCAACCACUGGAACACAUCUCCAAAGUUCUGCUGGACCAGCUCAGCUUCCCCUCAGAAGAAGUGCCACCACCUGCCAGAUGAAGGAGCCUUUUGAGAGGCAGCUGGUAUCAUGAUUGGACUGUACUUUGGUCUGUUCCAAUCCAGCUUCAGCUCCAGAGACGGCAGGCGGGAUGAGUCAACGGAGGCCGGGUGGACGAAGGCAUGAAGCUGAGUACAAUCCAGAAAACAACAGAGGAGGAGUGCAGCGGUCCAGGGCCAGAACAGAGUAGCAUGACCAAAGAACUACAGACUCUUCACAACCUGCUCAAACUCUUGGUACAGGACCUCACCACACGGGUCAAGAAGGUUUCCAUCUCAUUUCUACUCUGAAGCUCACCUUCUCCUGCUCAAACUGCUGACAAAUGUUUCUGCUGCUCUAAAGUCUGGUCUCCAGAACUUCCUAAAAACUCUCAAAGUCUCUUCUGCUGCAGGUUGCUAUGUAGAACUUUUGCAGAAAACCUCAAGAUAGUCGUCCAAAUGAAACCGUACAAAAACCAGACUAACACAACCCAAACGCUAAAGUCUCCUGCAGCCUACCAGAGAACCUCUGAGAACAGAGAAUCAGGACAGGAACUCUUACCUUCUGGACAACCAACGUGUGUGUGUCUGACCAAAAACCUCUAAAGACUCACAACAGCCAAGAUAAAGACACAACUCACCUGCACCAAAUCCACUAAUCACUGCACACAUUAGCACCAUGUGCUAACUGUGGCUAAAGAACCACAUUUACCAAGACAACUAUCCAGUACAAAGCCCUAAAACACACCAAGAAACACAUUAAAGAUGAUUUUACUGCUGGAAGCUGCAAGCCAACGCCUAAAGAACAAGCUAAAGCAACGGAGCCAAACCCGGCUCAGUGGUGAAGAGAAGCAGAGGAAAUGUUUGUCUGCAGCUAAAUAAAGCAGGAAGACACUGAGCUGCUCAGGUGUUCCUGAUAACACCAAGCAGCCACCUGGACAGCCAAUAGGAACACAGCUUACUGGAAGUCCAGAGGGCUGGAUUAGUGAAGGAAAUUUAGUUUAAAGUUGAAGCAGAAAGUUAACAAAGAAAGUUGAAAACCACCUUCUGAUACCUGAAAUCUCUGAGUUUUCACACAAAGAACGCCUGAACAUGUCAAACUGGUUCCAUAGUAGAACCAUCAUUGUAAAAACGUCAUAGUAUGGUGUGUUGCUCAAAAAACAUUACGACCCGGCUGUCUAGGGUCGCCGAGGAGCAACACAAAAACAGGACAAACGCUGGUUUCCAGGGGGUUAGGAGGAUAUUUAUUUGAAAGAGUAAGUUUACAACAACACAACAUGUGGGCAGAAAAAUCACAAAGUCUGUCUUUAGUUCAGCUUAAAAUAUUAGUUUUUGUCUUUUUUAUUGACCAAACUUUUCAGGAAGUAGAUGAAGAAUAAUUAAAGCUCUCAUGUAGAAGUCCAAUUUAUUUUGGAUCCUUGUGGAGAGUUUAAUCUUAGAGUUUGUAAAGCUGUUGAGUUUUUAGAGUCACAUGGAUUGUUUUGACAUUUAAUAACCGAGUCCUGAAAUAAAAUUACAGUUGUGGAUUUCUGUCAUUUAGUCUGGACUAAACAAAUAACAGCAGCAUAAAUCUCAAAUGUCAUUAUGAGGAGUCUGGAUUGAGGUUUCUCACUUGAUAAUGAUCAAAACAUGAAAUUUAGGUGGGUUUAAAGGAAUAUUCCACCUUAAAUCUUUGAAUGUUGACCUAAAAGGUUGGUUUCAGGAAGUAUUCCACCUCCAAGGUCCUCAAACACCCACCUUAAAGGAACACUCCACCAAAAAUCCUUGGACAUGCACCUAAAAUGUUGGUUUAACCGAGUAUUCCAUCCAAAAUCCUCAAAGACACCUGAGGGGCUGGUUAAAAGGAAUAUUCCACCUAAAACCUCAAAUAUAGACCUGAAAGGGUGGUUUAGAAAAAAUCCUUCAGUGUAGACCAAAAAAGUUAGUAUGGAGGAAUAUUCCACUUGAAAUGUAGACCUGAGAAGUUGGUUCCGAAGAAUAUACCAUCCUAAACAUCCUUAAAUGUAGACUAAAAGAUGGUUUGGAAGAAAAUUCCACCUAAAAUCCUCCAAUGUAGACCUAAAAGGUGAGUUUAAUGGUAUAUUCCACCUAAAAUUCACGACUGUAGACCUUGGAGGUUGGUCUGAUGGUAUAUUCCACCCAACAUCCUUCAACAUAAACUUAAAAAGUUCGUUCAAAGGAAUAUUUCACCUAAAAUCUUUGAAUGUAGACCAAAAAAUCUUGGUGUAAAGGAGUAUUCCACCUUAAACGUAGACCUAAAAGAUGGUUUGGAGUAAUAUUCGACUCUAAAAUCUUCCAAUGUAGACCUAAAAGGUUUAUCUGAUGGUAUAUUCUACCCAACAUCCUGGAACAUUUACCUAAAAGGUUGGUUUAAUGGUAUAUUCCCAGAACCCUUGAACAUUGGGCUUAAUGGUAUAUUCCACCCAAAAUACUUGUACAUAUACCAAGAAGUCAGUGUAAAGGAAAUGUAGACCUAAAAGGAUUGUUUAAAGGAAUAUUUAAACGAUUAUUUUCAUUAUUUAAUAAUCUGUUAUCAGUCAGAACCCUGGCAAACUUAUUUUCAUCAGUUUUUUUAGUGGAAGUCACAAAUAAAGGAGCUCUUGGUUUUUCCCGA